rnacentral:rRNA from 1 species
AAUCAACGCUGGCGGCGCGCUUAACACAUGCAAGUCGAACGAGAAAGCCUGGGCAACCGGGUGAGUACAGUGGCGCACGGGUGAGUAACACGUGGAUCAUCCUCCCCGGAGUGGGGAAUAACCCUGGGAAACCGGGGCUAAUACCGCAUACGCCCGCAAGGGGAAAGGAGCAAUUCGCUCCGGGCGGAGUCCGCGGCCGAUUAGCUAGUUGGAAGGGUAACGGCCUCCCAAGGCGACGAUCGGUAGCCGGCCUGAGAGGGCACACGGCCACACUGGC